GUGAUUCUGUCAGAUGUGGUCCAGAGGAGGGCAAUAAUGAUCUUGAUAGGGGGAAUGAUGAGCGUCUCCCUACCAUCUUAGACACCUCAGUCUGACCCAUGUCAUGUGUAUAGCUCCAUACCUGACACACCAGAUGUUUCCAACCAUCAGGACACCAGUUACAGGGAUCCAGAAAACACCCAGCAGGGCAUGACCUACCACCUUCUGCAGAAGAUCUAAUUACACUGCU